rnacentral:siRNA from 1 species
UCGUCUGACUUGGGUAUAGGG